AGAUCACUUGAGGUCAGGAGUUCGAAACCAGCCUGACCAACAUGAUGAAACCCAGUCUCUACAAAAAAAAUAAGAUUAGCUGGGUGUGAUGGUGGAUGCCUGUAGUCACAGCUACUCAGGAGGCUGAGGCAGGAGGAUUGCUUGAGCCCAGGAGUUCAAAGCUGCAGGAAGCUAUAAUCAUGCCACUGCAAAAGGUGACAGAGACCCCGUGUCUUAAAAUAGACUUAAGCCAGUUUAAGCCUUUCAGUUAAAUGUCCCAUGAAGAAUUCUGUUUUGAGACUGAGUGUUGCUCUGUCACCCACGCUGGAGUGCAGUGGCGCGAUCUUAGCUCACGGAAACCUCUGCCUCCCGGGUUGAGCGAUUCUCCUGCUUCAGCCUCCCAAGUAGCUGGGAUUACAGGCACAUGCCACCAUGCCCUACUAAUUUUCUUAUUUUUACUAGAGACAGGUGUUUCAGCAUAUUGCCCAGGCUGUUCUCAAACUCCUGACUUCGUGAUCCACCUACCUCAGCCUUCCAAAGUACUGGGAUUACAGGCGUUAAGCCACAGCUCCCGGCCCCCACCAAGAAUUUUAAACAGCUGAUACGAAUGUGUCCAAAUAUUGGUUCCUUCCGGUGGGUUCUUGGUCUCGCUGACUUCAGGAAUGAAGCCACGGACCCUCACGGUGUUUACAGUUCUUAAAAAUAGUGUGUCCACAGUCUGUUCCUUCAGCUGUUUGGAUGUGUCUGGAAUUUCUUCUUUCCGCUGGGUUCAGUGACCUGCACAGGCCUCAGGAGUGAAGCCACAGACCUUCGCCGUUGACUGUUAACAGCUCUUAAAGGUUUGCGGCUUCACGCCUUAAGUCAGGGAGACUACAAAACCGCAAGGGAGUAAUGAACUCUGGUCGCGCCACAUUUAAAAGCUGUUAACACUCACAGCGAAGGUCUGCAGCUUCACUCCUGAAAUCAGCGAGACCACGAACCCACCAGAAGAAAGACACUCCGGACUCACAAUCUUUUAGGAACUGUAACACUUACUUCGAGGGUCUAAGGCUUCAUUCUUGAAGUUGGCAACACCAAGAGUGUACUGGAAGGAACCAAUUCCGGACCCACCAGGACCCAGUACAACCCUUAACGAUAGUAAAUAUUCAGGGAUUUUUGCAGAGAAGCAGGGACAAGGGGACUUGGCAAGAGCUAUGAAGACCUCUUGCCUCUCAUCUGUGGGCAGCCUUAGAAUUUUCCAGGUUGAUUGCUGGGGACCAAAUAGUUACAGUCUACUUGGCACCUAAACUAAUCCCACCUUCAGGGAACCUUGUCAUUCAGGAGCCAGGUCCUCCUCUAGGACUGAAGGUGGCAAAAAUGUGUGCCCUUUGGCAACACUGCAUGACACAUGAAAGGGCCAACAUGAUUCAAACUCUUAGCUAUGGAAGCCUGGGAGGAUGGUAGGUUUGGAUGGUCUAUGGCCUUCUGAUGCCUCUAUCACUCCAACACAAGUGCCCUUAGUUGUUCAGUGUCCUAUAAAAAAGGAUGGAAAACUAGGACCACUUUCAAGGGGCUUAUGCAAAUACAUAAAGUGCCUGAAUUAAACUCUGAAGCAGUAACAGGGUAGAGAACAUGGUAUGUUUUCCUUUUUAAAGACGGAAUGAAAACUAAAGCAAGGGCUACCAGAUUGAGUUAAUUCUUCGUGUUGAAACGGUACCAGUAUCCAGUUAAUGUGUCCAACAAAGACACCAAACUAGGUGAUUCAAGCUCUAGAUGGGUUUUCUAGUUUCACAUUUAUGUAUGAACUAAUUACAACAAAAAAAUCACCUUUUAAUUUUG
rnacentral:lncRNA from 10 species